UACGUAGGGACCAAGCGUUGUUCGGAUUUACUGGGCGUAAAGCGCGUGUAGGCGGACUUGUAAGUUGGGGGUGAAAUCCCGAGGCUCAACCUCGGAACUGCCUCCAAAACUACAAGUCUGGAGCAAGAUAGAGGCAAGUGGAAUUGCGAGUGUAGAGGUGAAAUUCGUAGAUAUUCGCAGGAACACCAGUGGCGAAGGCGACUUGCUGGAUCUUUGCUGACGCUGAGACGCGAAAGCGUGGGGAGCAAACAGG
rnacentral:rRNA from 1 species